GUGCUCACUUCACAAUUUUAGCACAUAUACUAAAAUUAGAAUGAUACAGAGAAGGUUAGCUUGGCCCCUGUGCAAGGAUGACACGCAAAUUCAUGAAGCAUUCCAUAUUUUU
ensembl:snRNA U6 U6 spliceosomal RNA